rnacentral:lncRNA from 1 species
AAUUUCAUAAGUAAGUUGUCAAGGGAAAAUAUUUGCAUAUCUGGUCCUUACAUCAUCAUCUGAACUGGAGUCAUCGCUGGAUUCUUCCUUUUUAGAGGCAGCAGCAGGUGCCUUCUUAACAACAGCAGGUGCCUUCUUAACAACAGCUUCAUCCUCAGAGCUGCUAUCAUCAGAAUCAUCACUUGACUCGUCUUUCUUAGCGCCAUUAGUAGGAGGUUUCUUGGGUGCAGGUACAUCUUCCUCGGAGCUGCUAUCAUCCGAAUCAUCACUUGACUCA